rnacentral:rRNA from 1 species
AACGAACGCUGGCGGCAUGCCUAACACAUCCAAGUCGAACGAGACCUUCGGGUCUAGUGGCGCACGGGUGCGUAACGCGUGGGAACCUGCCUUUAGGUUCGGAAUAACUCAGAGAAAUUUGAGCUAAUACCGGAUGAUGUCUUCGGACCAAAGAUUUAUCGCCUUUAGAUGGGCCCGCGUUGGAUUAGCUAGUUGGUGGGGUAAAGGCCUACCAAGGCGACGAUCCAUAGCUGGUCUGAGAGGAUGAUCAGCCACACUGGGACUGAGACACGGCCCAGACUCCUACGGGAGGCAGCAGUGGGGAAUAUUGGACAAUGGGCGAAAGCCUGAUCCAGCAAUGCCGCGUGAGUGAUGAAGGCCUUAGGGUUGUAAAGCUCUUUUACCCGAGAUGAUAAUGACAGUAUCGGGAGAAUAAGCUCCGGCUAACUCCGUG